rnacentral:rRNA from 1 species
UACAGAGGGUGCAAGCGUUGUUCGGAAUCAUUGGGCGUAAAGGGCGUGUAGGCGGUUUGCUAAGUCAUGUGUGAAAAGCCCUCGGCUUAACCGAGGAACGACGCAUGAAACUGGCAAGCUAGAGUACCAAAGAGGGGGGGUGGAAUUCCACGUGUAGCAGUGAAAUGCGUAGAGAUGUGGAGGAACACCGAUGGCGAAGGCAGCCCCCUGGGCUAACAC